rnacentral:rRNA from 1 species
UACGGAGGGAGCUAGCGUUGUUCGGAAUUACUGGGCGUAAAGCGCGCGUAGGCGGUCUUGUAAGUUAGAGGUGAAAGCCCGGGGCUCAACUCCGGAACUGCCUUUAAGACUGCAAGACUAGAAUCCGGGAGAGGUAAGCGGAAUUCCGAGUGUAGAGGUGAAAUUCGUAGAUAUUCGGAAGAACACCAGUGGCGAAGGCGGCUUACUGGACCGGCAUUGACGCUGAGGCGCGAAAGCGUGGGUAGCAAACAGG